GUGCCAGCAGCCGCGGUAAUACGUAGGUGGCAAGCGUUAUCCGGAAUUAUUGGGCGUAAAGCGCGCGUAGGCGGUUUUUUAAGUCUGAUGUGAAAGCCCACGGCUCAACCGUGGAGGGUCAUUGGAAACUGGAAAACUUGAGUGCAGAAGAGGAAAGUGGAAUUCCAUGUGUAGCGGUGAAAUGCGCAGAGAUAUGGAGGAACACCAGUGGCGAAGGCGACUUUCNUGGUCUGUAACUGACGCUGAUGUGCGAAAGCGUGGGGAUCAAACAGGAUUAGAUA
rnacentral:rRNA from 1 species